UAAACGGCCCUUCUAAGGGCCACAGAAAAUUUAUACAAAGAGCUAU
rfam:Aedes albopictus isolate Foshan contig66788, whole genome shotgun sequence.